UACGUAGGCAGCGAGCGUUGUUCGGAGUUACUGGGCGUAAAGCGUGCGUAGGCGGUUGUCUAAGUUUGGUGUGAAAUCUCCUGGCUUAACUGGGAGGGUGCGCCGAAAACUGGGUGACUGGAGUGUCGGAGAGGUAAGCGGAAUUCCUGGUGUAGCAGUGAAAUGCGUAGAUAUGCGGAGGAACACCGAUGGCGAAGGCAAUCCCCUGGGCCUGCACUGACACUCAUGCACGAAAGCGUGGGGAGCAAACAGG
rnacentral:rRNA from 1 species